GUUUUUUUUAACUCUUAUUCCAAACUUGAUCUAUAUGGAUUACUAAUUAUGAAAACCUAUUUGUAUUAAUUAAAAAUGAAAUAAUUAGACAAUUAUGUAAGCAAAGAGGAAGAAGAAAGAAGAACAUGAUAUAUAUGAUAAAUCGUCGAUAUUUUAUUUAGAGAUGAUAUGAAGCUUCUUUUCGACCUCCUUGAUCAAGCACCUCUUAAUAUUUUUCUGAAAGAAAGAAGGAAGAAAGAAAGAAAUAUUUAUUUUUCCCCCUCAAUUUGUUAUCUGUAGUUAUAAUUUUUGCAAAUUUUCCCUUUAUUUUUUUUUUUUUUUUUUUUUUGGAUUUUGAUAGUUAAAUAAUCGAUUUUGUAUAAAGGAGACUGCUAAUUGAGUAUUAGUGAGAAACCAUAAACACAGGAAACACUCAGAGAGAGAUGAAGGAGAAAGGGAUGGGAAGAGAGGAGAUUAGGAGAGCUAACAAUAGACGAGAAGUACACCCAGUGAAAAUCUUUAGUACCCAUUCUCUACGAUUGUCUUGCAAACUACAAUCUUGCUUGUCCUUCUCUUUCUUGCCAAUAUUACAACUCUUUCUCUCUUCUUUUCUUUCUUCUGUUUAAAUUAGAUGAAAUGUGUAUUGGGUUUUUUCAGGGGUUUAUGAAUUUUUGGAGUUUUGAAAUUUUAGUUGUAUUUUUGGGUAUAUUUGAGAUGAAAUUUUAGAUGUUAUUUCAUUCAGUUUGAAAUAUAGACUUACUUGUCAUGAAAUUUGGGUGUAUUUUUCCAGAUAUGUUAUGUUGUUAAAAUGAGCAUUUUCCUAUCGAGUUCUCACUUUUAUUAUUGUUUGAUUUAAUGGUGGGUGUUUCGAAUAUUUUCUUAUAGGUUGAUUAAUACAAUCUCCUGAUUAAAAUUUCAUAUAGAAUUUUCACUUUAUAAAAAUUAUUAAUACAGCUAAUUUCAAUUAGGAAACUAAUGUCACCUUUAUAAGAGAGGUCCAACAGUAAACUUUCAAUGGCUUCAAAGUACUUGUGUAUGUGUUUUUUGAGGCGGCAUCUCGGGGCAUUGGUAGAAUGAUUUAUGUUGAUUUUAAUGGUCAAAAUAAUCAAUGUCAUGUUUAUUUGGUUUAUUUUGAGUUUUUGAUGGAACUUUAACAUAAAGGUGUUUUUGUCAGUUUUGUUCUUUCUUAAGGUAUAUUUGAGCAAAGUUGAAAUUUUUGCUAAUUGAGAAUUUUUUGAUGAUUUAACUAAAUUUAUGUGUUUAAUCCAUUAAUUUAGAAUAAAGUCUAGGUAUAGUUUUCUUAGGUUUAUUUCAUCAAUUUACUUACAUAAUACUAAUCAAGAAAACCUAUUCCUAUAAAUGACCCUAGCCAAAACUAGCCCAAACCUCCUCGGUUGCCAACUGCCACCCGUAAAUAUAAGAAGGAUACUACACUUUUAUUUUAAAUGAUUAAUAAUAAGUCAAAGUGAAAACAAUGCUAGAUAAGUCUUUAGUUUUAUAGAGAUGAAUUGAGAUUAUGCACGGGAAAUUAUUUUGUAUGAAAUUUUUUGCUUUAUUGUAUUAGAUAUUAUUGUCACAAGAGAAAUAUUUGAGGUACAUUUUAGGGGUUGAUCACUUCAGACUUGUGAGUUUGUUUAGGGAUUGUUAACAGAUGUUUUUUCAUAGGUAUUUAACUCCCUAUAGCAUCUUUUUGGGGGCUAAAUCUGCUAGGGUUUAUAUAUAGUGUCUGUUUCGUAGGUGUUUUGAGGGCUUCUUGUUGCUGAUGUUUUAAGGAAUGGUUACAGGUGUAUUAAGUGUGUUUAAGAACUGAUUUUCGUGGGUUUGGGUAGGGGUGAAAGUAAAUUGGAUAAAAACCGAAAACCGAACCAAUCCAAACCGAAUAAGCAAUUCGGUUCGGUUUUUUUCGGUUUUCGGAUUGGAUCGGUUUGAAAAAAUGGGAACCGAAAUAUUUCGGUGUGGAUUCGGUUUUGGAAUUUGAAAACCGAAAACCGAACACCGAACCGAAAUUUAUAAGCCCACUAAUCCAGCCCUUUUUAUGACAUAUAUAUACCCAAAACCCUAGAUCUUUUCGUCCCCUCUUUUCCUAUUUCCCUUUCACAGUUUCACUUUCCCUCACCAAAACCCUAGAUUUUCCCUCCUCUCUCCCUCACCACCUCACUCCGUCCGUCCACCACCAGUCUGGUACUUCGGUAUCUCACCGCCGCUCAACGCUCACCAGUUACCACCGCGUUCGAUUAAGUGAAAGACUAGAAAUUUGACACAAUUGGUGGUGGUCAAAAUAACCAAGACUUGGUUGAGCUUGAUUGAACGGUUGAAGAGUUAAAGCUGCCAGCCAAUUAAGCUGCUGCCAUUGUUUCAUUAAGCUGCUGCCAAUUGAAUUAAGUUGCUGCUAGUUGGACUGCUAUUUCAUUUUUAAGAUUUCUAUUAUGUCUGUAAUUUUAUUCUAAUGGCUGGAAUGUUUUUUUUUU